rnacentral:rRNA from 1 species
UACGUAGGUGGCAAGCGUUGUCCGGAGUUAUUGGGCGUAAAGCGCGCGCAGGCGGUGCGGUAAGUCUCUGGUGAAAGCGCUCGGCUUAACUGGGCGAGGGCCGGGGAGACUGCCACGCUGGAGGGAGCAGAGGCGAGUGGAAUUCCGGGUGUAGUGGUGAAAUGCGUAGAGAUCCGGAGGAACACCAGUGGCGAAGGCGGCUCGCUGGGCUCUACCUGACGCUGAGGCGCGAAAGCGUGGGGAGCGAACAGG